rnacentral:tRNA from 1 species
GCCUCCUUAGCUCAGCUGGUAGAGCAACUGACUUGUAAUCAGUAGGUCACUGGUUCGAUCCCGGUAGGGGGCU